rnacentral:rRNA from 1 species
CUGGAGGUAUCAGAAGUGCGAAUGCUGACAUAAGUAACGAUAAAGCGGGUGAAAAGCCCGCUCGCCGGAAGACCAAGGGUUCCUGUCCAACGUUAAUCGGGGCAGGGUGAGUCGACCCCUAAGGCGAGGCCGAAAGGCGUAGUCGAUGGGAAACAGGUUAAUAUUCCUGUACUUGGUGUUACUGCGAAGGGGGGACGGAGAAGGCUAUGUUGGCCGGGCGACGGUUGUCCCGGUUUAAGCGUGUAGGCUGGUUUUCCAGGCAAAUCCGGAAAAUCAAGGCUGAGGCGUGAUGACGAGGCACUACGGUGCUGAAGCAACAAAUGCCCUGCUUCCAGGAAAAGCCUCUAAGCAUCAGGUAACAUCAAAUCGUACCCCAAACCGACACAGGUGGUCAGGUAGAGAAUACCAAGGCGCUUGAGAGAACUCGGGUGAAGGAACUAGGCAAAAUGGUGCCGUAACUUCGGGAGAAGGCACGCUGAUAUGUAGGUGAAGUCCCUCGCGGAUGGAGCUGAAAUCAGUCGAAGAUACCAGCUGGCUGCAACUGUUUAUUAAAAACACAGCACUGUGCAAACACGAAAGUGGACGUAUACGGUGUGACGCCUGCCCGGUGCCGGAAGGUUAAUUGAUGGGGUUAGCCGCAAGGCGAAGCUCUUGAUCGAAGCCCCGGCAAACGGCGGCCGUAACUAUAACGGUCCUAAGGUAGCGAAAUUCCUUGUCGGGUAAGUUCCGACCUGCACGAAUGGCGUAAUGAUGGCCAGGCUGUCUCCACCCGAGACUCAGUGAAAUUGAACUCGCUGUGAAGAUGCAGUGUACCCGCGGCAAGACGGAAAGACCCCGUGAACCUUUACUAUAGCUUGACACUGAACAUUGAGCCUUGAUGUGUAGGAUAGGUGGGAGGCUU